rnacentral:lncRNA from 1 species
UGAAUGUCUACCCGUGGCCCCGCCCUGCAGUAGGACCUAACGAGAGACAAGACCCAGAAUCUGCCUUUGAAGGAGGGGGCCAGUUCAGGAAUAUGGACUCUGUCGUCAGGACACAGAAGAGCCUUUGCAGGACUAAAUCGGGCCAGAUUGUCCCUUUAGCUGUGGUGUGGAGAAGGGGUCAGAGGUGUAGGCGGGAGCUCCGGAGACCCUGCUGGUCUCGGUGACACAGUGCGAGAUGAUGGCAACGUGAAAUGCAAGCAGAGACAGGAUGCUGUGGACGGAGAGAAAACACCCUAGAUGAAGUGUCUGCGACAACACUGCAGAAAUAUAUACUUUUUUGACAUUUUGGAAUCAAAAGCAAAGUUUGUUGAUGAUAACCCCAUCAGAUCAGGGUGGUUUAAAAGCCAAAGCUUAGUGCAAAUAAGAUCCCUGGGCCAGCCCCUCGAGCUGACAGUGCCCGCGCAGGCACGUCAAUUUCAACAAAGGUAUCGGGCGUCACUUGUCUGCUGUGCAG